UACGUAGGGGGCGAGCGUUGUCCGGAUUUAUUGGGCGUAAAGAGCGUGUAGGCGGCCAGGUAGGUCUGCUGUGAAAACUCGAGGCUCAACCUCGAGACGUCGGCGGAAACCAUCUGGCUAGAGUCCGGAAGAGGAGAGCGGAAUUCCUGGUGUAGCGGUGAAAUUCGUAGAUAUCAAGCAGAACACCUGCGGCGAAGGCGGAGCCUUCUCGGAUCGAGUGACUGACGCUGAGACACGAAAGCGUGGGGAGCAAACAGG
rnacentral:rRNA from 1 species